GACAGAGGUGCCGAGCGUUAGGCGGAAUCACUGGGCUUAAAGCGUGUGUAGGCGGAUCUGUAAGUACCUUGUGAAAUCCCACGGCUCAACCGUGGAACUGCUUGGUAUACUGCGGGUCUUGAGCCACCUAGGGGCAAGUGGAACAAACGGUGGAGCGGUGAAAUGCGUAGAUAUCGUCUGGAACGCCGAAGGUGAAAACAGCUCGCUGGGGCUGCGCUGACGCUGAGACACGAAAGCCAGGGGAGCGAACGGG
rnacentral:rRNA from 1 species